AGUGAACGCUGGCGGUAGGCCUAACACAUGCAAGUCGAACGGCAGAAAAGUAAGAGCUUGCUCUUACUGGUGGCGAGUGGCGGAAGGGUGAGGAAUACAUCGGAAUCUACGUAAUAGUGGGGGAUAACGGAGGGAAACAUACGCUAAUACGGCAUACGAAAGACGGGAGAAAGCAGGGGAUCGUCGGACCUUGGGCGAGUGAAUGAGCGCGUGAAGGAUUCGCCAGUGGGAGGGUUACAGGCUGACCAAGGCGUCGAUCCGUAGCUGAUCUGAGCGGAUGAUCGUCGACACUGGGACUGGGACACGGUCCACACUCCUACUGGGGGCAGCAGCGGGGUAUAUUGGACAACAGGCGCAAGCCUGUUCCAGCCAUACCGCGUGGGUUGAGGAGGCCUUCGGGUUGUAAAGCCGUUUUGUUGGGAAAGAAAAGCUGCAUGUUAAUACCCCGCUGUUCUGACGGUACCCAAAGAAUAAGCACCGGCUAACUUCGUG
rnacentral:rRNA from 1 species